rnacentral:misc_RNA from 1 species
UAGUUGUGGAGUAUCUGCACCAAAUCAACCAGAAUCAUCAGGAGGGAAAUCUAGCAAAGUUGGACUUGGAGUAGGAAUCGGUAUAGCAGGUGCAGCAGCUGUCUGUAUUGGUUUGGGGUGUUGGUUAUUGCUUAUCAGACAACGCAGGAAAAGAAUUGCUGCCCAAACAAAGAGUAAAGGCCAGCCUACACCUCCUUCAAGCAAAGGCGAGCCUGCACCAAUAAUUAAUUUCUCUCAAACCACCCCUACUUAUCCCUCUUCAAAUUCUGACCUUGAAAAGGGAAGUACCUACUUUGGAACUCGGGUAUUCAGCUAUGAAGAACUUGUUGAAGCCACGGAUAAUUUCAACCCUUCGAAGGAACUUGGUGAUGGAGGCUUUGGCACUGUUUAUUAUGGUGUUCUCAACGAUGGGCGUGUGGUUGCUGUCAAGCGUCUAUUUGAGAACAAUAUGAGGCGAGCUGAGCAGUUCAUGAAUGAAAUUGAGAUCCUAACUCGUUUAAGGCACAAGAACCUUGUGUCACUGUAUGGAUGCACCUCAAAACGUAGCCGAGAAUUGAUCCUUGUCUAUGAAUAUGUUCCUAAUGGAACUGUUGCUGAUCAUCUUCAUGGAAACCGGUCCAAGUCUGGUUUGCUCUCUUGGCCUGUUCGGCUGAGCAUUGCCAUAGAGACAGCUGAUGCCCUAGCUUAUCUUCAUGCUUCAGAUGUCAUACACCGUGAUGU